UACGAAGGUGGCAAGCGUUGUUCGGAUUUACUGGGCGUAAAGGGAGCGUAGGUGGUGGGGUAAGCCCCGCGGGAAAGCUCCAGGCUUAACCUGGAAAGGUCGCGGGGGACUGCUCCGCUCGAGGACGGGAGAGGAGCGCGGAAUUCCCGGUGUAGCGGUGAAAUGCGUAGAUAUCAGGAGGAACACCGGUGGUGUAGACGGCUUUCUGGACCGUAACUGACGCUGAGACACGAAAGCGUGGGUAGCAAACAGG
rnacentral:rRNA from 1 species